rnacentral:lncRNA from 1 species
AUGACACAGGGCAACAAUAGGAUACCUGAGAGGAGUCCCAGUGAGGAUCUAGUAUUGGUAGUGUAGUAUAAGCUGGAAGCCUCGAAUCAGACUAAUGACUCAGUAUAAAGAACAUUUGCAAGUCAGGCUGUGUGGGCAAAAGGGUACACUGUGUGACACACUGUGACACACUGCAGUUUCCACAGCGAGGUGCUUCUAUUUACCUGUUUGUUUUGUUUCUAUUUAUUUUAUUUAUUUUUAUGAUUUGCUUUCUUUUUGUGGGGUAGGUUGGAAGUGUAGAGGGCAGAUCCAAGAGGGACUGGAUGAUAAGUGGAUUGGGUAAAUGAUGUGAAAUUCACAGAGUU